UGGGGAAUUUUGGACAAUGGGUGAAAGCCUGAUCCAGCAAUGCCGCGUGUGUGAAGAAGGCCUUCGGGUUGUAAAGCACUUUUGUCCGGAAAGAAAUCCUUGGCUCUAAUACAGUCGGGGGAUGACGGUACCGGAAGAAUAAGCACCGGCUAACUACGUGCCAGCAGCCGCGGUAAUACGUAGGGUGCAAGCGUUAAUCGGAAUUACUGGGCGUAAAGCGUGCGCAGGCGGUUUGCUAAGACCGAUGUGAAAUCCCCGGGCUCAACCUGGGAACUGCAUUGGUGACUGGCAGGCUAGAGUAUGGCAGAGGGGGGUAGAAUUCCACGUGUAGCAGUGAAAUGCGUAGAGAUGUGGAGGAAUACCGAUGGCGAAGGCAGCCCCCUGGGCCAAUACUGACGCUCAUGCACGAAAAGCGUGGGGAGCAAACAGGAUUAGAUACCCUGGUAGUCCACGCCCUAAAACGAUGUCAACUAGUUGUUGGGGAUUCAUUUCCUUAGUAACGUAGCUAACGCGUGAAGUUGACCGCCUGGGGAGUACGGUCGCAAGAUUAAAACUCAAAUGAAUUGACGGGGUCAUA
rnacentral:rRNA from 1 species